UGUCAAACCAGUUUUCCAGCUGCGUCUGUGUAUCUACACUGUGACGAUGGACACUUAACGUUACGGUUCAUUUCGUUGAAUUUUUUAACACAGUAUUUAAUGUGUUAAUCAAUAGAAUCUCGAUCACUGUUGACAUUUCUUCCUUCCUUUUCUCGACAUAAAGUGAGUUUUGAAUAGACGUGCGUGUUCAAUGUUUAUGUUUUUUGUUAAAUAAUAUAAUAAUGUUUCUAUCUUAUGAUGUUAUUGCUACAUUCGGUGUAUCAGCGUUGGUGUCAUUCUUCGUGUCAGUUACAUUACUCCUAACUGUGGCAUCGAAGCGGGGACUGUUACGAAUGCCAACUAGCACUGAACCGCUGGUUUCUCCUCUCAAGGAGAAGAUCGUGCCCUCUGCGCCUGAACUAACUCCACUAGCCGAGUCUUCAUAAAUAGUGAAACAAAUCUUAAAAAAAAACAAGCUUGUAAUAGGAUAGUCGUGAUAAAUGACAAAUUACUUAAAAGUGUAUUAAUUAAAUACACUAAUGAAAUAUAUAAACAGUUUGUGCCAUUUACAAUGGCAUCUGUAGUUAUCAUUAGAGGAAUAUUGUAGAAAUAUAACAGGUUCGAUUCCAAUGAUAGGACAAGUUAAAAUAAUUAACAAGUUUGACUUUGAAACCAUUGUAGGUGAUUGAAGUAAUUUGUACUGUUCAUUAUGGAUUCGUGAAAAAAUUGGCUUUUUUACACAAUUUUUGAAGUAUAAUUGAAGCAGCUAAAUUGUUCACUAGAAUAGUGUUGUAUUGUAAAUAAAAGAUUUCUUAUCUUUACUUAUUCUGCUAUUGGAUUGGACUUUUGAUAUUUUAUCUUUUUGUGAACAAAUAGUGAAUGAGUCAGAGUUAUUAAAGAAACAAAGGUACAAGAGUGUAUUUAAAUAAUUAUAUUAUUAUUAUAUAACUCCAUAAAAUGGCUUAUUAUUAUAAAUUAAGAUAAAUAUUUAUCAGAAACUAAAUAAAAAAUUCCGGGUUGUCCGGAAUGUUCGUGGUGAUUUUGAAACGCGUUAACUUUAAUUUGUUGCAUUUAUGAAAUUACUAUCUUGCCUCAAGCAUGCGAUUUAAUAUGUUAAAAUUUUGUUGGAAAAUAAUAUUCAAUGCGAUGCUUGUAACAACAAUAUUACGUUAAUGGUAUAGUGCCUUAAACCAGCAAGCAAGUAUUAAUAAGUUUACAUAAGUAUCUGCUUAAAAAAAUAAAAUUCGAGCGCAUAAAAUCGUAUCCCUAUUUCUUUACCUUUAGUGGUGAUAUUUUUUCUUGAAAUUUAAAUGAGACCAAACAUGAAGUAAAAUAUUCGGGAGGGUUCGAAAAAAAAUCCAAAUUCGUUCAUAAUGGACGGAUUUCUAAGGUGGCAAACAUUAAAAAAAAAAACCGAAUUGAGAACCUCCUACCUUUUUGAAGUUUGUUAAAAAUAUCAACUGAAUUGAAUGAAUUGUAUAGAAACGUAUGCAGGUCAAACAAAGAGAUCCAUUUAUACAUACGUACGCAGGUACCAGGUACUAUUUUAUACGAUAGAUAUACCUAAAACUCCAGCUUUAACGCCACCUACGGGAAAUCGAAACGUCAUUUAUUAAAUAAAAGUCACUAUGCACAAAACGAUGUUACAAUAAAGUUGAAUUUACAAAUU